rnacentral:rRNA from 1 species
UACGUAGGGGGGCAAGCGUUGUCCGGAAUCAUUGGGCGUAAAGAGCGUGUAGGCGGCCUGGUAAGUCCGCUGUGAAAGUCCAGGGGCUCAACCCCUGGAAUGCCGGUGGAAACUGUCAGGCUCGAGUCCGGAAGAGGCGAGUGGAAUUCCUGGUGUAGCGGUGAAAUGCGCAGAUAUCAGGAGGAACACCAAUGGCGAAGGCAGCUCGCUGGGACGGUACUGACGCUGAGACGCGAAAGCGUGGGGAGCAAACAGG